GACGAACGCUGGCGGCGUGCUUAACACAUGCAAGUCGAGCGAUGAAGCUUCCUCCGGGAAGUGGAUUAGCGGCGGACGGGUGAGUAACACGUGGGCAACCUGCCUCAAAGAGGGGAAUAGCCCUCCGAAAGGAGGAUUAAUACCGCAUAAAGUUAGAGUUUCGCAUGAAACUUUAACCAAAGGAGUAAUCUGCUUUGAGAUGGGCCCGCGUCCCAUUAGCUAGUUGGUAAGGUAAUGGCUUACCAAGGCAACGAUGGGUAGCCGACCUGAGAGGGUGAUCGGCCACAUUGGAACUGAGACACGGUCCAGACUCCUACGGGAGGCAGCAGUGGGGAAUAUUGCGCAAUGGGGGAAACCCUGACGCAGCAACGCCGCGUGGGUGAUGAAGGUUUUCGGAUCGUAAAACCCUGUUUUCUGGGACGAUAAUGACGGUACCAGAUGAGGAAGCCACGGCUAACUACGUGCCAGCAGCCGCGGUAAUACGUAGGUGGCAAGCGUUGUCCGGAUUUACUGGGCGUAAAGGGUGCGUAGGCGGAUGCUUAAGUGAGAUGUGAAAUACCUAGGCUUAACUUAGGGGCUGCAUUUCAAACUGGGCAUCUAGAGUACAGGAGAGGGAAACGGAAUUCCUAGUGUAGCGGUGAAAUGCGUAGAGAUUAGGAAGAACACCAGUGGCGAAGGCGGUUUCCUGGACUGUAACUGACGCUGAGGCACGAAAGCGUGGGUAGCAAACAGGAUUAGAUACCCUGGUAGUCCACGCCGUAAACGAUGAAUACUAGGUGUAGGAGGGUCCAACCUUCUGUGCCGCAGUUAACACAUUAAGUAUUCCGCCUGGGGAGUACGGUCGCAAGACUAA
rnacentral:rRNA from 1 species